CCACCACUAAGGAAUACAGCCGCAAUCGACCUCCAGCAGCCAACCACCCGUCUGCUUGUCCAACCAAUCACACUGACAGUCUAUGCCCACCCACAAUAAACACCACCGUCCAGCUCCUCCGCCUGCUUUCUAUAUCUCCCUCUCCUUCCACCGUCUCCUCACUCUCGGGUGUCCCCUCUGUGGCCUGCCCGACACCUCAUCGCCAGGCCCUGGCCACGGAUCGUAUCCUCCCUGUCGAAUUAGGUAACCAUUUUAGCCCUAUUGUUUGCGUUUGCCAACUCCGCCAGAUGAAGCUGCUGCGGCUCUUUCAACAGACCGUCAUCGCUUUUCCAUCCCUAGCCUAGACUGAGAACUUCCCUUCCUCCCCCCGUUCCUAGUCUCUAACGCUCUCUCUGCCUGGAGCUUGACUCAUUCUUGCUCGACCUUUUUCCUUCCCCAACCAUCCCAUACUUUUCUUCCAGUUUGGCGGGAAAAAUGUCAUGGCAGCUUCCCCGCUAGAUAGCUCCAGCACCCCACACCCUGCUGCCGUAGCUGUUGAUCCUCCAGGCUCCCCGAAUGAUCCCAUGGAAGAUACAUAUACCCAAGCUACCCGGAAACGCCCUCGUCUUGACAGUGGGAAUCAUUCAAACGAAUCCAUGACCAUGUCGGUUCCCUCCCCAAGCUCUGACAGCGGUCAUUACGGCAACGAUCAGCUUCUUAGCGGUGGGAGCCUUGUCCCUCCUGCGGCUACGUCAGUUCCAGACCCGGAAACACCCAACCCACAACGUCCCUCCAGCAGAGUAACGAUCAAUAUGAAAUCUCCCACUCUCCAUGAUGACUCUGCCUCUCAUACCGUUGAAGAAACUCCAGCAGUGUCGGACCAGCUGCAAUCAGAGCAAUCGGAGCAGCAGGAGCAACAUGAACAACAUGAACAAUUCCAGAUGUCUCCAGAUCUGACAUCCCAUGCCCAAACUGCAAUAUCCAUCACUUCGUCCCCGUCGCGCAGUCCCGAAAUCGAGGUCGCUGAGGUGGAAGACAUGGAUCAAGAUCCCAGCACAUCCAACUGGAGAUCAUUAGAGGAUGCCCUCAGGGAAGAACCUGAUCUUGUGCACAUGCAUGACGAGGUUUCCCUGGCAGAAUCCUUCCCACGACUCAGGCAGGAUUGUGACGUACGGGAAGCCAUAGAAGAGAUAGCGAAUUAUUUCGAGAGAGGUCAUCCCCACGAUAUCACAUUCUUUAUAUCGGUUAAGAGCUGGCUUGAGCUCUGUGUGAAUAACCUAAAUAGCAUCUCCUAUGAUACCGUCGCUGA
rnacentral:sRNA from 2 species